rnacentral:rRNA from 1 species
AUUGAACGCUGGCGGCAGGCUUAACACAUGCAAGUCGAGCGAGCGGCGGACGGGUGAGUAAUGUCUGGGAAACUGACUGAGGGAGGGGGAUGAAUACUGGAAAAGGUAGCUAAUACCGCAUACAAACAGAUGUGGCCAGAUGGGAUUAGCUAGUAGGUGGGGUAAUGGCUCACCUAGGCGAAGAUCCCUAGCUGGUCUGAGAGGAUGACCAGCCACACUGGAACUGAGACACGGUCCAGACUCCUACGGGAGGCAGCAGUGGGGAAUAUUGCACAAUGGGCGCAAGCCUGAUGCAGCCAUGCCGCGGGUGUGAAGAAGGCCUUCGGGUUGUAAAGCACUUUCAGCGAGGAGGCGUUACUCGCAGAAGAAGCACCGGCUAACUCCGUGCCAGCAGCCGCGGUAAUUC